AGUGAACGCUGGCGGCGUGCCUAAUACAUGCAAGUCGAACGAACAGACGAUGAGCUUGCUCCCUUACGGUUGGCGACUGACGGACGAGUAACACGUGGAUCACCUUCCUCUUUUACUUGGAUGAAUUCGGGGAAACAGAUCCAAUACUAGCUCAUAUAUUCUACCGCAUAGUUCAAUAGUUCUAGGCGGUUUUCCCGAUACUUUUAGCUGAUGCCGCAUUAGCUAGUUGGCAUGGUAAAGGCUCACCAAGGCAACGAUGCGUAGCUGAUCUGAGAGGGUGAUCGGCCACACUGGAACUGAGACACGGUCCAGACUCCUACGGGAGGCAGCAGUAGGGAAUCUUCCGCAAUGGGCGAAAGCUUGACGGAGCAAUGCCGCGUGAGUGAUGAAGGUCUUCGGAUCGUAAAACCCUGUUAUUAGGGAAGAAAAAAUGUGUAAUUAUCUCUGCACGUUCUGACGGUACCUAAACAGAAAGCCACGGCUAACUACGUG
rnacentral:rRNA from 1 species